AGCGGCGAAAGGGAGAGUAAUGCGUAGGAAUCUGCCCUGGGGUCUGGGAUAGCGUCGGGAAACUGGCGGUAAUACCGGAUAACGUCUUCGGACCAAAGAAUUUCGCCCUGGGAUGAGCCUACGUCCUAUUAGCUAGUUGGUGGGGUAAUUGCCUACCAAGGCGACGAUGGGUAGCGGGUGUGAGAGCAUGAUCCGCCUCACUGGGACUGAGACACUGCCCAGACAUCUACGGAUGGCUGCAGUCGAGAAUCUUUGUCAAUGGACGAAAGUCUGAACAAGCGACGCCGCGUGCGGGAUGAAGGCCUUCGGGUUGUAAACCGCUGUCAGAGGGGAGGAAAUUUUGACUGAACCUCAGAGGAAGGACGGGCUAAGUUCGUGCCAGCAGCCGCGGUAAGACGAACCGUCCGAACGU
rnacentral:rRNA from 1 species